UCCCUGCUGGCUCAGCUGGUAAAGAAUUUGCCUGUAAAGCAGAGACCUGGGUUUGAUCCCUGGGCUGGGAA
rfam:TPA: Bos taurus chromosome 8, whole genome shotgun sequence.